GUUUUACUCAGGCAUGGCAUUGGGUUUUGUGGUGGGGUUUUGGUGUGUUUGUGGCACUUUGAUAGUAAAGAAAUCUUGGAGACAUGCUUAUUUUCGGUUUGUGGACAGAAUGAAAGACAAAAUCUAUGUGGUCAUUGCAGUGAACAAGGCUCGAUUGCUAAGGAAGCUAAAUGGAGAAAUAUGAGAUUAACACAACAGGUCAAAAAGAGCUUUAUCCCUCACUAUUUUCUUUUCUUAAUUUUUUUUUUCCUAAACAUUAUCAAUUUGCAUCUAAACUUUUGAUAUUUGUGAUUGU
rnacentral:misc_RNA from 1 species